AUCAAAUAUGAACUUUUAUGAAUUUUUACCUCAUGAGCAUGACUAUGCUCUCUUUCUAUCGUAUUGUAUAUGACGCUAUGAUCCUAUGAUUCUUAACACUCUCUCGUCUAAUACCCUCACUAAUGUCCUUCAUAACAAGCUUAACCCAUCAUGAACAAAUUGAAGGAACAAUAUUGCAUUCAAAAUAAAAUCCAUCCUCACAAGUCUUAUAGAAACAAGGUAAGGGAAAUCAAUUGUUUCAACUCUUUUCCCUUUGACGUUUUCAGCUUUUCACCACCAUAAAACAUCAGUUUCAAAUCCUUUGCAAAUUACUUACCAAACCAAGCUUGCAUUUGUGCUAUUCCUUCAACCCAUCUUCAAUAGAAACCACACAAAGGUAAAUUUCAGCUUGAUUUGCCCUUUUUAAAACCCCAAUUUCAAUCUCUGCAAAUAAUUGAUCUGUGAUGCAUGUACAAUCCAAUGUCUUUAACCCCAUCUCAUUCUGUUAUGGAGAUAAAGUAAAGAUUUCUAAACCAUAUCUUCUUUCUAUGGUUGUUUCAUUCUCCUUUCAUACUUGAGAGCCUUCUAAAAUCAAUUACUAAUAUUUUUGGGUAUUUGCAUGUGAAUUUGAAUGGAACCAGCAACUUUUGAUAAGUAUAAUGGAACUGGAAAAACAAGGAUUUGAAGAGGAAUACGAAGCUUAAAGGUCUGAGUUUGGGUUUGAGGCUUAAAGAUUGGAUUGGUGAUUUUUGGAAGAGUUUAAGUGAAAACCCGUAUUUGGGGAUAGACCCUCACUAAAAAGGGAUGAGCUCUGUGGACGCGUUUAAAGUUGGAGGUCUGAAGCUGAUUAUGCAGAAAAAUCAGUCACAGAAGUUGUGUAUUUGAGCGACACGAACGGAUGUUUAAGAGCGUGUGGAACAGCUUGGAAUUGCUGGACAUCACAGAUAAACAGGUUGAUCGAGUUGUCGAGGCCUUGAAGCAUGAAGUUCAGAUAUUGGGAUUACACUAUUUGAGCUGAUGUCAUGUUGUUUAUCUUAUUUUUGCAUAAGAUUUAGUUAGUUAUGUUCAGUAUUGUUAGCUCAAUUUAGUAUUUAUUCUUUGGAUAAUGUAAUCCUCAGUAUGUAUUUGGACGAAUUGUAAUGUAAUUUAAUCUAUCCAGAUUCAGUUAUG